UACGUAGGGGGCUAGCGUUGUCCGGAAUCAUUGGGCGUAAAGAGCGUGUAGGCGGCCCGGUAAGUCCGCUGUGAAAGUCGGGGGCUCAACCCUCGAAUGCCGGUGGAUACUGUCGGGCUAGAGUGCGGAAGAGGCGAGUGGAAUUCCUGGUGUAGCGGUGAAAUGCGCAGAUAUCAGGAGGAACACCGAUGGCGAAGGCAGUUCUCUGGGCCGUAACUGACGCUCAGGCACGAAAGCGUGGGGAGCAAACAGG
rnacentral:rRNA from 1 species